rnacentral:rRNA from 1 species
GAUGAACGCUGGCGGCGUGCCUAAUACAUGCAAGUCGAGCGAACAGACGAGGAGCUUGCUCCUCUGACGUUAGCGGCGGACGGGUGAGUAACACGUGGAUAACCUACCUAUAAGACUGGGAUAACUUCGGGAAACCGGAGCUAAUACCGGAUAAUAUAUUGAACCGCAUGGUUCAAUAGUGAAAGACGGUUUUGCUGUCACUUAUAGAUGGAUCCGCGCCGCAUUAGCUAGUUGGUAAGGUAACGGCUUACCAAGGCGACGAUGCGUAGCCGACCUGAGAGGGUGAUCGGCCACACUGGAACUGAGACACGGUCCAGACUCCUACGGGAGGCAGCAGUAGGGAAUCUUACGCAAUGGGCGAAAGCCUGACGGAGCAACGUCGCGUGAGUGAUGAAGGUCUUCGGCUCGUAAAACUCUGUUAUUAGGGAAGAACAAAUGUGUAAGUAACUGUGCACGUCUUGACGGUACCUAAUCAGAAAGCCACGGCUAACUACGUG